UACGAAGGGGGCUAGCGUUGCUCGGAAUCACUGGGCGUAAAGCGCACGUAGGCGGAUCUUUAAGUCGGGGGUGAAAUCCUGGAGCUCAACUCCAGAACUGCCUUCGAUACUGGGGAUCUUGAGUCCGAGAGAGGUGAGUGGAACUCCGAGUGUAGAGGUGAAAUUCGUAGACAUUCGGAAGAACACCAGUGGCGAAGGCGGCUCACUGGCUCGGUACUGACGCUGAGGUGCGAAAGCGUGGGGAGCAAACAGG
rnacentral:rRNA from 1 species